GAGAAGGAGGCCUCUGUCUGUCCCCUGCCACCACCACCUCUUUAUAACAAUUCAGCCGUAGCCCAGAAGAAAAUCGAUCCUCAAGGCUCUCAGCCAUUUCUCCUAAGCAGCUUGCCAAGCAGUGGAAAUGUUGGUACAGGAAAUAAAAUUGCAAGAAGAUAACUGCGGCAGAUUGCAUUUUCCAAAAACGGUGGCAAAACUAUCUGCCAUUCUACCUGC